CCUACGGGCGGCAGCAGUGGGGAAUAUUGCACAAUGGGCGCAAGCCUGAUGCAGCCAUGCCGCGUGUGUGAAGAAGGCCUUCGGGUUGUAAAGCACUUUCAGCGGGGAGGAAGGCGUUAAGGUUAGUAACCUUGUCGAUUGACGUUACCCGCAGAAGAAGCACCGGCUAACUCCGUGCCAGCAGCCGCGGUAAUACGGAGGGUGCAAGCGUUAAUCGGAAUUACUGGGCGUAAAGCGCACGCAGGCGGUCUGUCAAGUCGGAUGUGAAAUCCCCGGGCUCAACCUGGGAACUGCAUUCGAAACUGGCAGGCUAGAGUCUUGUAGAGGGGGGUAGAAUUCCAGGUGUAGCGGUGAAAUGCGUAGAGAUCUGGAGGAAUACCGGUGGCGAAGGCGGCCCCCUGGACAAAGACUGACGCUCAGGGGCGAAAGCGUGGGGAGCAAACAGGAUUAAUACCCCGGUAGUC
rnacentral:rRNA from 1 species